ensembl:lncRNA
GGAUAUGUCACACAGUCAAUUUUCCUGGCUACUGUGCUGAGGAUGCAAGAGUAUUCAACAGAUGAAGGUGGACUUACCCUGAAGUAUUUGAGUGACCAGAGUUAAGCAUGUUUUCCAUGUUAUUAGAACUAGAGGUUUAGUUUGUGAAUUUUAGACUUAUUACAGUCUGUGAAGGCAUUAGAUUUUUUUUCCUCUUUUAUCCAAAGGCAAAUAUUGCAGGGGAAUCACAAAUUUCUUUCUUUUGAUAGUUAGUGUACAAUAUUGUGAGUUACCAUAAAGAAAGAAUAGCAUAAAUUUGAACUGCAGAUACUCACAAGUAUUUUCUCUUAAAAGUUCUCUUAAAAAUGUCAGAAUAGUAUAGUACAUUUAAGAUGUUGCUGUCAAAAAGUAGUGUGUAAAUGUAGAUAGGUUUUACGCCUGAUUCUCUGUUCUGUGAAUAUUCUUGGGAAAGAUUUGCACCUAAAAAAUAAAUGUGUAGAGUUGAAAUGACGUUUUAAGUACUAUUCAAUUAAUUAGAUAUAUUUAUUCUAAAGUAACGUUCAUCAAAAACUUUUACUUGACCAUAGAGUUUGAUCCCUAGUAAAAUGAAUAGCUGGGAGGAGAGAUCAAUUUUUGUUUGUUUUGCUCUUUUGCUUACUGCUGUUUAUCUUGCUCCACAGCUGCUCCUCUGAACAGUUUUUCUUGUAUUCCCACAAGUUACUAAGAUUUUAUCAGAAGUUUCAUUUGGACUCAUUUCUACAGGACAUCAAUACAACAUAAACAGAGGUUCAUUAGGAAAUAACAACAGUAUUCAAGUUAACUGCUUCAGCAUAAUAUAUUAGUUAUGGGGGGAAAAAAAAGCAUUUUUGUCAAUACUGCAAAACUACUGAGCCAUUUUUAUGGAAUUUUCCAAACUGAUUCAUCCCAGAGUAGACAUAUGGCAUGGGGCACAACAGCAUGAACAGUUUAAAUAUGGCAAUUACAAGGAAUUUAAAAACUGGUCUCAAAGGGGAAAAUUUUGGUCAACCUUAACUAAAAGCAUUUAGUGGAACUAAAAUAAUAAAAAUCUGUAAAAUUAAAAUCUGUAUAGCAUAUAGUUGAAGAGACCUGUAUGAUUUCCUUAAAGGCUAUUCAUGUGUACAUAAUUCAAGUACUUAGUUAGAAAACACUUCAAAAAAAAAUCUUUAAGCAAAAGUCUUAAAAAGAAGAAGAAAAAAAAACUCUGAAAGCUCUCACAUUUUACAGCACAGCAUAUCUGCUCCUUCUAAAUUUAUUUUCAGAGUUCAAAAGACAAUCAUUGGCUAAUUAUCUGACAAAUGCAGCACUAUUGUUUGAAUUGCUGGCAUCUUUACUCAGUUGAAAAACAUGUUUUUUCCUUAAUGGCUUAUCUAAACUUCAUUAUUUUGUGACAUUUUAAAAUAUGCUACAUAAAAGCUCCUGGAUACAAUUAGAAAAAAUAAUUUUCCGUUUAUCUUCAGAGUCGAGAAUUCUAAACUCUAGCACAGGAGUGCUAUGGGCAAAUUUAAAAUGGAAGGAGUUUCUCUCUGAAUUUUUAUUAAUUAUAAAAAUUAUGAGUAAGGGUGUGGAACCAUAAUGCGCAUCAGUUUCUAGGCAAUCUGAGUCUCCUUCAAUGAGCCAUUUAAAAGAUCUCUUCAUCAGGAUACAGAGAUACCUUCUGAAAAUUUGGAUCAUGACUACAAAAAUUCCCUAGUAGAUGAGGGAAAAGCUAUGGAUGUAGUCCACCUAGACAUGAAUAAAGCCUUUGACAUUGUGUCCCACAGCAUUCUCCUGGAAAAGAUGGCAGUCCAUGGCUUGAACAGGUACAGUCUUCACUGGGUAGAGAACCGGCUGGAGGGCUGGACCCAGAGUGUGGUGGUGAAUGGAGUUAAAUCUAGCUGGUGACCAGUCACAAAUGGUGUUCUCCAGGGGUCAGUAUUAGUGCUGGUCCUGUUUAAUAUCUUCAUUGAUGAUCUGGACAAGGUGAUUAAGUGGGCCAUCAGUAAAUCUUCAGAUGAAACCAUGUCUGAGAGUAGAAAAGUUCUACGUUGGUAUCUGGACAGUCUAGAUUGAUGGACUGAGGCCAAUUGCAUGAGCUUCAACAAGACCAAGUACUGAAUCCUGCACUUUGGUCACAACAACCACGUGCAACAUUACAGGCUUGGGGUAGAGUGGCUGGAAACCUGCAUGGUGGAAAAUGACCUGGGAUUCUUGGCCAGUGCUCAGCUGAACAUGACUCAACAGUGUGCUCAGGUAGCCAAGAACACUAGCAUUCUGGCUUGUAUCAGAAAGAGUGUAGUCAGCAGAACUAGGCAUGAGAUCGAUCAUUGCCGUGUACACAGCACUGGUGAGGCCAUACCUCAAAUACUGCGUUCAGUUUUGAACCCCUCACUACAAGAAAGACACUGAGGCCCUGGACCAUAUCCUAAGAAGGGCAAAGAAGCUGCUGGAAGGUCUGGAACAAAAGUCCUGUGGGGAGCAGCUGAUGGAACUGGGAUUGUUUAGUCUGGAGAGGGGGAGGCUCAGGAAAGAUCUUACAGCUCUGUAAUAGUCUGAGAGGAAGAAGUAGCAAGAUGGAGGCUGGUCUCUUCUCACAUGUAACAGUAGUAGUAUAAGAGGUAACGGCUUUGAGUUGAACUGGGGGAUAGCUGAACAGGUUGGAUAUCAGGAAAAAGUUCUUGGAGUGAUGAAGUAUUGGAACAGGCUGCCUAGGGAGGUGGUGGAAUCACUGUCCCCAGAGGUUUCCAAGGAAUAGGAAGAAAAGCUAUAAAAAAUGAUGCUUAAUGGAUUUGUUUCAUUUGGUUUUACCUUGUACAUACUUAAAAAAUAUUUGCACUAUGAAAUAAUGACCUAAGCGUGUCUGUCAAAUCCUCAGCACUCUUGCUUUGCUGGUAUUAAGGCUCUUAAACUGGUAGAAACAGGAUGACUACUACUCCUAUUUUAACAAAUGGGAAAUAUCACAGAAAAAGGUGCUAUACUGAACUGGUGCUAUACUGAACCAGUACACUACAAUGUGUGGAAAAUGAAUUUUAAUUUUCACAAAAUUGCUUAGUGGGUUGAUUUCCUCAGCCAGUUAUCUCAGUUAAUAGCUUUUUGGGAGAUUCUGCCAUUACGGAUAUAUUGAAAUUCAUAUUCUGUAAUAAAAACACAAAUAUUUUUAAUUCAGGACUUGGUUAAAGCAAUUUGGUUUAGAUGUCAAUUGCAGCAUUUUUUUUCUCAGCAAUUAAACUGUUAGGUGGAUCCCCUAAGAUUUAAAAUGAAUCCAAAAUAUUCAAUACAUGAUUCCGCAAGGAAAGCCAUUAGGUAUUUUCCAUCUCAAUCCAUUGAUGUUUAAAUAUUUCAUCGCAGCCUCCACAUUUCACAGAAGUACAUUAUACUUUCAAAGUGUUCUUAAAUCAUCUGUGAAACCUCCUUAUUGAAGACUUUGCAGAAUAUUAACUAUGGAAAACAAGAAAAUAAUUGUCUUGGCAAACUUACGGUUUUAAGUGAAUACAAAGAAAAAGGAUUAUUAUUUAUUCUUAGACAUCAAGAUAUUAAAAAGAAAAAAAAAAAAAAAAAAGCUUCUGAAUUUUUCAAUUCUACUUCCCCAGAUCUUUAUUAAUACCAUUAAGCAUGGGCAAAUUUCUCUCUCAGGCUUCACAAUGCAGGCUUUUACUUCCACAUUCAAAUGCUCUUUUGGAUUUAGAUUCAGAUUUCUUCUCAUCUCAUCUAUGGUGGACCAGGGAAAGGUCAUAUGUGCCUAAGGCCAUUAGCUCAGAUGCAGACUUCCAUGUUAUAAGUGUUUAAAAUUAGCUGAGAUGAAUACUUCUCUGAGGCAAGCUUUUCAGUUUCUCAGAUCCUAUCAAAGGAAGCAUUUUGCCUUGUGAUUAGCUGCUACAUAAAAAAUAACAGAAUUAAUUGUUCUCAACUUUUAACUCCCAAUGCUUUACAUGAUAUUAUGAUGUGGAAUACCAGUAACAAAGAUCAUAAAACCCAUAAAAUAAUAUCAUUUAUAUGCAUAUAUAAUGUGCAUGAUAUCAUAUGCUGUUUUUUCACAGUAAAAUUAAAGCAUCCAAGAUGUUUUCACUUCAUGUGUCAAAUCAGAACCCUGAAUUUCAUAGGAACUCUACUAUACACAAAUUUGUCCCUCUAGCCUAUAGAAAGUACACAAAAUGGCAAAAAUUCCCUUGUUUUUGCUAGAAUAGUUCGAUAUGCCUUCAUUUUUUCCCAGCUCAUUAUCCCCUUCCAUACAUUUAGGAUUAAAUAUAAACCAUUCUGUAAUUACAAAUGGCUUUGAAGUCGUGUUCUCUGUUCAUACAUAUCUUCAUAAAUUUGCUGAUCUGUGCACAUGCAGGUUAUUAAUGCCUGUUUUCUCUCUAUGUACAUGAAACGAGUUCUUUUUUUUUCCUACCAACUUCUUUAAUAUUUUUCUUCAAAAGACUGAGCUUAGCUUUCUUUACUUUUUUAAUACUGUCCUGUUUUAUAACAUAUUUCUUCAUAUGCUGUCAUUUUCACUUGUAAAAACAUCUCAAACAAUAUUUCACUGUUUUCUCUUUACACUAGCACGGUAAAACUUCAGUCAAUCUGUUUGCAUGAAUUAUUGCUUACCAAGGGAACAGAAAAUCAGUCACUUACUAACUCCUGAGAUCACUCAGGUUAUGUAAUACAAUUUUAUCAUAACUGAGAGACACAGUUUUUUAAUACAUAGGUGCCCUAGCAAAAAAUGUCUUCAAAGUUUUUCAAGGUUUUCUAAUUUCCCUAGUGAUCGCUACCACAACCUUGUCUGACUUCAGCUAAUGCACUUCAAUUCAGGUUUCAAUAUUCCAUCAGUGUAGUAACAGAAACCGUGUCUACCUUCCCUUGCAUUGUAGGAGCUACAUGUUGAAAGUCAGCCAAGAAACAAUAAAAGCACCAAUGAAUUAUUAUCAAAAGUAACAGUAGCCCUCCCCACAGAUUGUUGUAAAAUAUCCAAAUAUGAUUUUUGCACAGAUAAAAUAAUUGUUCAGAAAUUUUAAUUUGGAAAUUUCAAAAUGUUCCAGUCUGUCAAUAAGUUUUCUCCCUGAAACUGCUAUAUGCCUCCUUGGAACUAUUAUUCAGAUAUCUUCCCUAUUUAAUGAUCAUAGGAUCAGAGAAUCAUUAAGGUGGAAAAAGACCACUAACAUUAUCUAAUUCAACCACUGAUUCAUCACCACCAUGCCCACAAACCAUGUCCCUAAGUGUCAUAUCUACCCUUUCCUUGAAAACAUCCAGGGAUGGUGAAUCCACCACUUCCCUGGGCAGACAAUAUUUCUGAUAUAACCCAGGAUGCCUUCUUGGACAUCUGGGCUUACUGCUGGCUCAUGUGUAGCUGGCUGUCAACUAACCCCCCGAAUCCUUCUCCAGUAUGGAGCUUUCCAGCCACUUUGCCCUAUGCUUAUUGUGUUACAAGGGGCUGUUGUGACUGUAUCACAUGCUUUUCCCUGAUAUGGAAUGACUUUUGCUUAUGUUCCUGUAGAGUCCAUGGCUAUGACAGCACUGGCAAGGAACAGUGUGAAUAUGAGUAGAGAAAAUGCAAAGACUUUUCGCAUCUAUUUGAAUUCUCCAGUAGAUUUGAAGCUUCCAGACAGAGAGCAUCUGAAAGGAGGUUUCAGCCUGACAGUGGCACCUGUGACUUCAGGGCUACAGGACGAGGCAGUGGAACAUACAGACUAACUCUAUGGACUUGCUGUGGCAAUGACACCUGUGCUGUUUUUGUAAACUCAGUGGUGAAUAACAUAAUUGUAACUUUUUCAUAUUUUCAGUGUCUGUGUGUUCAUUUUAGCAUUUCACAAAACCUGGGUUUUGACAGUUAUGCACAUCUGUAACAAAGUAUAUACAAAACUCAAUCAUAAAUGCUAUCAACAUCUAAAAUAUCUAGUUAGAGGGUCUUCCCUAUGUGGUACAACUGACACAAAUCAGCUCUUUGAUUAUUACUGUGUUAGUAAUCCAUUCUGAAAAACACAAAACUGCCUUUAUCAGCAUCACUUCAAAGAAACUAUGAACUGAGUACAAUAUAAAGGAUUACUUUUUCUUCCUUUUGUUCAAGAGAUUUCUCUCAUAUAGCAAGAAAUGUAUCCAGAUAAAAUCCACAGAACUGAAUUCAAAUAAAUCAUUAUGAAAACAAAGACUUUCUACUCAUAUUGGCCAAAGUUCAUAAACAUUGAAGUUGUUUGAUACAUAGAGAGGCAUUAACUUAGGAAGCAGGGAGUCAAUGAAAAUAAAAGUUGAAUAAGUAUAUAAGUGCAAUUGCAUGGCUGCAUUAAAUGUAAUUGCUACUAAUAAUUUUCGAUCUUUUUAUAAUAAAUGUCACAUAAAGUUAAUUACAAACAGAAACCAUAAAACUUGUAACAAUACUAUUAGAUUGUUCAUUAGAUUGCCAAUUUCAUUGACCUCAGUAGGUAUCUCUCUUAAAUGGGUUCACUGAUUAUUCAGUGGCUUAUGUAUACACAGUCUUUCAUUCUCUCUCAUGAUAUCAAUUGGUGAAAAACUAAAAACCAUUCACUCCCCUGAAAGAAAACCACCAAAAAAUGUCUUCCUGUGCACAGAAGAAAAUAACAAUUUUAAAUUAGAAUUUUAGAGCAUUGCCAAAUGAUCACAUAUCUGUGUCUAAGAUGGAAUUGAUGCUCCUUGCUGGUUAAAAAAAAAAAAAAAAAAAAAAAAAAAAAAAAAAAAAAAAGCAGGCAGGAAGGCAAGAGUAGAUUUCAGUAGUGUAUCUUUCAGCUUCAGUUCAAAGAUGUUUAGAAAAUAGUUCAUGCUCUAAACAUUGAACAUCAAAGGUAUCAAAGUAUUUUAAUACAGUAGGCCAUUUUUUUUUGUUCCCUUGGGAGACUAACGUUCACUUCUGAUUUAUGAUACACAUCAAAUAAGUUUGGUAGUUGAUUCCCUUAUCUGUAUAUGUCCAGAUCCCCAAAGCACCAAGUAAUUUUGUGUGAUUGGCAAGCUUUUCUCAAGAGAAAUUCUGGACAGGAAAAGUAUACUGUGGGUCACUACUGGCCUGAACUGGCAGGAUUUAAAAGAGAAAGCUUACUGUUUGCCUGUACUUAGUAUAAGACUAAGCAGAAAUAUUUGUGACUUACCAUAAUUUUCUAUUCAAUAUAGAACUUUUUGCCCAUAACACAUUGCAUUUCCCCUAUUUUUAAUGUAUUCAGGUAUUCCAACUGAUUUCAGUAAUCUCAUGCUAGCAAAAUAAAGCAAAUCACAUUAAGAAAAUUGACACUUUUUAAAAUUUAUUUUAUUUUUGAAACUGAUAUAGAGUGUAUUUUGCUAUUCAAAGAAAAUAAAUGUCACAAAACACUACAGUAAGGUUAUUUUGUUAUUUUUAUUCUUGAAAGGUAUCUACAGAUACCUCUGAUGUAUCUGUAAUCUUCCAAGGUCUAUUUUGCAGAAUGCAGGCUUGUGACAGAAAUCACUCAAGAAAGCACUUCAUUAGCUACCCCAUCUGACACCUGAGACACUGAAAUAGUUUCUCUUGAUUUAAAACCCGAAGUACAUUUAAGAUUAAAUAUUAACUAUUUACUAGUUUGUAAAGUUCAUGCAGUCAUUGCAAACAGAUUUUUAUUUUUAUUUUUUACUAACUUAACAAUGCUGGCAGAGCUGGCAAAAAUCAGGAACUUGGGCUGCUUUGAGUCUAAAAACCUUGUGCUAGUUCUAGUGUUCUGUACGUUUUCCUCAUCUUUCAGAAAACGUUUCUCUCCUUUAGGUAUUUGGCAAUGUAAAAUAUGCAAAUAUCCACUUGACUUGCAAAGCUUUUCUGGCUUUCAAGUAGAUCUCUUAAUCUUAUUACACAGGUGAGGAAGCCAUUGCCAGACAAGUGGUAGUUUAAGGAAAUCCAUGCUUGAACAGUAUUUUUAAAGCAGUUGCUGAAUAUGGAGCCUUUUUCAUUGCAAAGCGUUUGUUGGCAGACAACUUGCACAGUUUGAAUGCCUUUAAUUAUAUAGCCAUCAUCAACCUUUGCUCUUGGCUAUGCUUUAUCUGUAAAAAAUAUUGCACUUGCUCCAUAAAAAGUACUACAAAAUGCAUUUAGUUAGUCUUGCAGCCGAUUUAUUACACAGAAAACAUCUCCUUUCCUCUCUUAGAAAGGGUAGAUGCAGUCGCUAAUUUAUGCAACAUCGUUACUUGUUUGUGGAUACAAGGAAUAUGACUCUAAGAAAGCCCCAGUCCAGUCUCUUCUUUAGGACUGAAAAUGUAUAAAAGAUGUGUCUUGGUCACUUGUUCGGGCUUUGUCACAAACCCUUGAUAUAUAGCAGGAGACGUAAUACUUUAACAAACACUUGUUUCUUCUCAUGAAAAUGAGAUCAUUGUAAAAGGGUUGGACAGGAUAGAGGCUUUGAUGAAUACUGAGUGUUAGAAACCCUUAUAUAAGAAAGACCUGCCUUCUAUUUGUUCUUUUUUCUCACUCAACAGACAAGACUUCUAAAGCACUACACUCAGUGAUUGCAAGAAGCUUUCCAAACACCUGACUUAUCUCUAAGAAGCAGAAACAUCAUAUAUGUUCUUGUUAGGAGAGAUUUAUUAUCUUAAUUUCCAUUAUUUUCAGAAUUCUACAUGUAGGUACCACCGCUUUUGCAUCUUUUCUUCUUUAAAGGAAAACAAGAAGAAGAACAAGGUCUGUAGAAAGUAAUAGAUAAGACUUCAUUUUGUGAAUCAUGAAAGUAUGCCUAAAAACAGACGGAGUUGAUUCAAUGAGAUACUUCUGCUGCUCUGGAAUCUAGAGUUAUGCUUGUAUUUUUAAAUAUAGAUAUUUACAACUGGCCUAAGACUGCCUACAGAAAGAGUUUGGUCUACCAACAUUUCUAGAAAUAGCCAUUAUUUUAUUUGGUAGGGUAGCUUUUGAAAUGCACUCCGUACAGUCUGUGUGGUGAAAGAGUAAUGCCAGGAACCAGAAGUAUGUCUGAAGGAAACUGGACUCACACAGAGUCAUGACACAAGCACAAAAACACCUACUUCAGAUGGAUGGAGAAACAGCAUAAAUCAGAAACUGUCAAAUGACAAAAUAUGGAGAAUGGUUUAUGCAAUGCUGAUAGUUUGUUGCAUCUACACAGUUGUCCUAAGUAAUAUUUCACCCUCCACAUCCAUAAGGUCUGUGGAUCACAUAGGAGCAAUUGUGUUUUGCACCUCUCAAAGAGAAACAGAACUGUUAUCACCUAUGAAAGAGACAGUCAUAACACAAUCUUCAUCUGCACAAAAAUCUGAUAUACCGAAGCAAAAUGCACAUGUACAGCUGUCAGCUACAUAUAUUGAGACUUUUUUGAGGUAACACUAAUAACAUAAGGUCACCAUCAUGAGUAUUUCACUGAAUUUAUUGGUGCUUUUGGAAUGCUCUGUGUGAUUAUCAACUGCAGUAUUUCUAAGAGUUUAGAACUUGUAGGCAGAAUAUAUGUGAAUAAUAAUAAAAAGUCAAAGUUAUGUAUUUUUUAAAAUACAAAUCUCAUUGUUUUCUGAGUUAAUUCUUUAUCUUUCAUUCUUGAUUUGCUUCAUAUUAUAUUUUCUACAUAUAUAGGUGCUUUGACUUUUUUAUGGUUUUCCCAGCAAGACUGGAUAAUGAGAGUUGCAACAUUCAAAGACUUUCUUAGGAACAAGAAAGAAAAUAGUAAAUAAAAAUAAGACUCUAAACUAUUAUAUUAAGAAAAGUUGAACAUAUUAUAUCAGUUACAAUAUAUGAAAGCCAAAAUACUCAUGGCAUGAUGGCUGCUCCAAAAGUGAUGCAUCAUAUUUUAUUACAUUGGCCUGCAAUGGCAGACAUGGAAUGUUGGUUAUAUAGCAGUAGAGGCUGAACCUUCCCACCAAUACUCUAUAUUUUGUUGCUGUGUGCUGGAUGGCGUUAGAGGGGCAGUCUGAUAAAAUACUGUAGGGUGUUAUGAAGCAAAGGUGUGUCAUUGAUUUCCUCCAUUCAAAAAUAAUUGUACCUACUGACAUUCAUCAAUACUUGCUGAAUGCUUAUGGAGACCAAACAGUGUAUGUGAGCAGUGAGGUGGUGGGUGAUGUGUUUCAGCAAUGGUGAUAGCAGCAGUAGGUCGCCUCCAAUGGAGCAGAUUUUAUGAACGUGGCAUGGAAACUCUUGUUCGCUGCUGGCAAAAGUAAAGGUAAUCAUGUUGAAAAAUAGUAGUUUGUGGCUUAGAAUUUGCUCUAUCAAAUAGCGUUAUUGUGCUCUUUGUAUCUGUUUUGUUUUCCAUGGAAGUAAACAGGAGAUACCACUUUCAGUGACUUACAUUCAUGGUAUUCUCACAUUUUUUGUAUUUACUGGGAAUUUCCAGUGUGAAUGACAGUAAACAUGAAGAUGCACCCAGGAAGGGAUAAGAAAUUAUACUGGAUAUGUGAUACUUCUUAAUCUGAUAUUCAACAUGAAGCAAUUGAAAACAUCAUGCAAAUUUGAGUGAAUGAUGUAGUAUAAAGUGGGAAGAGGAACAGACAAAUGAUUUUUAAUAUUCUCGUAAGGUAUGACAGCAAUUAUCAGUACUUCUCAGCUUAAACCCUCAGCACUCCUCUAGAGAUAUCUGCACCCUCUGCUUCCCUAAAGUGCCCAUAUGCCAAUGUACACAGCAUGGGAAAUAAACAGGAAGAACUAUAUAUCUGUGUGUGAUCACAGGGCCAUGAUUUCAUUGCAGCCAUGGAGACAUGGUGGGACAGCUCACAUGACUGGAAUGCUGUCAUGGAUGGCUAUGUCCUCUUAAGGAAAGACCAGCUGGCAAGAUGAAGUGGUGGAGUUGCUGUUCAUGCAAGAAAGCAAUUAGAAUGUAUUGAGCUCCACUUGGGUGGAACAAGUGUAGAAUUUGUGGGUAAGAAUUAAGGGGAGGGCUAACAUAGGUGACAUUGUUGUGGAUGUGUACUACAGGUCACCUGAUCAGGAGAAGGAAGUGGAUGAGGCCUUCUACAAACAGCUGGAAGAAGCCUUGCAAUCCCCAGCACUGGUUCUUAUCAGGGAUUUCAACCAUUCUGAUAUUUGUUGGUUAAGAAGCAUGGACAGUCACACAAGGUCCAGGCAGUUCCUGCAAUGCUUUGAUGACAGCUUUCUGACACAAGUAGUGGAGGAGCCGACUAGGAGGGGUGUGCUACUUGAACUUGUUUCUACUAACAAGGAAGGGCUGGUCAGGGAUGUGAUAUGUGGGAGAAGCUUGGGAUGCAGCAGUCACAAGAUGGUGGAGUUCAAGAUCUUGUGUGGGAGAAGCAAAGCAAUAAGUAGAAUUGCUACCCUGGACUUCACGAGAGACAAAUUCAACUUCUUCAAAGACCUACUUGGAGUUAUUCCAUGGGCUAGAGUGUUAGAAGGAAAGGGGAACCAUGAGAGCUAGUUGGUGCUUAAACACAAUUUCUUCCAAGCUCAAGACUGGUCCAUUCCUGGGCCAGUAAGAGUAAGAAACUGGGAAAAGGUGGCAAGAGUAAGGAAUGUUUUCAGGAAUUGUAGGAAGGCUAAGGCCCUCUUGGAAUUAAACCCUUCAAAGGAGGAAAAGGAUAAGAAGAAAUAUUUUUUUUAACUAUGUCAACAGUAAAAGGAAGACUAGGGAAAAUGUGGGUUCCCUACUAAAUGAGAUGGGUGCCUUGGUAACAGGGGAUGCUGAGAAGGCAGAGAUCCUGAAUGCCCUCUUUGUUUCAGUCUUUUAUGCUAAGACUAGCCCUCUGGAAUUCCAGACCCUGGAGGUAAGAGAGUCUGGGCAAAGGAGGACUUUCCAGUGAUCAAGGUGGAUCUGGUCAGAGUGAAUCUAGCCAAAAUCAAUGUACAUAAAACCAUGGGACCUGAUGGGAUGUACCCAAAUGUGCUGAGAGAACUAAAAGAGAUGACUGCUAAACUGCUAUCUAUCUAAUCUUUGAAAGGUCUUGGCAAAUGGGAGAGGUGUCUGAAGACUGGAAGAUAAAGAAUGUCACUCCAGUCUUCAAAAAGGGCAAGAAGGAGGAUCUGGGAUACUACAGGCCAGUCAGCCUCACCUCCAUCCCUAGAAAGAUGAUGGACAACUUGCUCUUUACGCCAUCUCCAAGCAAUUGGAAGAGAAGAAAGUUAUCAAGAGUUGUCAAUAUGUAUUCACCAAGGAGAAAUCAUGCUUGACCAACCUGAUAUCCUUCUAUGAUGUCACCACUGUCUGGGUACACGGAGGGAGAGCAGUGGAUGUUGUGUACCGUGACUUCAGUAGGGCAUUUGACACCGUCUCCCACAACAUCCUGGUUAUGAAAUGUAGAGAAUGUGGCACAGAUGAGUGGACAGUGAGCUGGAUUGAGAACUGUUUCACUGUCAGAGCUCACAGGGUUGUCAUCAGCAGCACAGAAUCUGGCUUGAGGCCUUUAAUUACCGGUGCUUCCCAGGUGUCAGUGCUGGGUCUGGUCUUGUUCAACAUCAUCAACAACCUGGAUGAGGGGACAGAGUCCACAUUCAGCCAUGACGGCUGUGCUACCAUUCCACAAGACCUGGACAAACUGGAGAGUUGGGCAAGAAGGAACCUGACAAGGCUUAACAAGAGCAAGUGUAGAGUCUUGCAGCUGGGGAGGAGUAACCCCAUGCAUCAGUACAGGUUAGGGUAUAACCUGCUGGAGAGAAGCUCUGCAGAGAAGGACCUGGGGGUCCUGGUGGACAACAGGUUGGCCACGAGCUAGCCAUGUGCCCCUGUGGCCAAGAAGAUCAGUGGUAUCCUGAGAUGCAUUAAAAAAAUUGCAGCCAGCAGGUUGAGGGAGGUCAUCCUCCCUUUUACUCUGCUGUGGUGAGGCCACAUUCAGUCUACUGUAUCUAUUUCUGGGCUCCCUUUUAAAAAAGACAGGGAUCUCCUACAAGGAAUCCAGUGGAGGGCAACAAAAAUGAUUAAGGUCUGGAGCACCUCCCACAUGAGGAAAGGCUGAGUACAUUGAUCUGUUGAUCGCUGAGCCUGGGGAAAAGAAGACUGAGAGGGGAUCUGAUCAAAAGUUUAUAAAUAUCUGAAGGGAGGUGGGAUUCAAAUAGAUGAGUGGUCUUCUCAGUGGUGUGUAGUGAUAGGACAAGGAGUAAUUGCUUAAAACUUGAACACAGGAAGUUCCAUACAAACAUGUGGAAGAACUUCUUUACAGUAGAGGUGACGGAGCACUGGAACAGGUUGCCCAAAGAAAUAGUGGAGUCUCCUUUUAUGGAGCUAUUCAAGACCCAUCUGGACCCAUCUGGAAGCUUACCUGUGUGACCUCUUGUAGGGUACCUGCUUUAGCAGGGGCAGGCUGGACUCGAUGAUCUCUUGAGGUCUCUUUCAAUUUCUGCAAUUCUGUGUUUUUGUGAUUCUGUGAUAUAGUGGGAGAAAAAUAAACAGGAGCUUGUACCUGUAUGAAGGCUGUAUAAAAUACUUCAUUUUUAAUAGCACAAGUCUCUCAUGUUUCAGUACAGCAAUGCAAUACAAAUAUAAAUGUAAACCAAUCUGUGAAUACAUGAAUGAAUAAUAUGCUAGUCAGAAUUGCUGCUCUUCUGAAGAGAAAAUCUUAUUCUUUGCAAUGAAACUAUCACUUCUACCUGAUUAACCUUUUGGUUCCACUUCCUCACUUCUCAUUGACGAAUAUUUUCUGGAGCACCUGAAACUUCAUACUGUACAUAGUGGGAAAUUUUUAAUUGAAGGCUUUUUUUCUUUUUGAGUAAUGUAAAAAGGGAAUCCUUUUUAGCCAGCAUAUUUUUCCAGUUAUUAAUCCAGAAUAUUUUUAUGAGUCCAAAUCAAACAUAAGUGAAAGAAUGAAGACUUUGAAUAGACUGAGUUACCUUAAAUCUUCAAAAUGCAUAUAGAUUAAGUAAAAUAAAUAAACAACAACAAAAGCUCUUUCAUAGGUAGUAGUAUGGGUAUAGCUUAAACUCUAGAAAGUAUACACAUAGUACCUGAAAAUGUGUUCCUUUAUAACAUAAUCAAUCACAAUUCUUUUCUCGAGUCUGUUUAAUCAGAAAUUAUUUUUUCAUAGCCUUAAGUCUAAAAGAAAUUAUCAUAUCAAUUGCUGAAUUUUCUAAAGUGCAACUGGACAGCCUACGGGGAAAGAAUAAUGUGUUCCUGUGGAUCAAGUUCUAAAAUAUUAUGUGACAUAUGUAGUUUUUUUCUCUAACACAUCUAGAGUACAGAUUAUUUUUUAUUUAUUUAAAAUGUGUUGUGUGGGUGUUGUUUUUUGGUGGUUUUUUUUUUUAAUGCUUCCUUAUUGAAAAAGCAUGUGAAUAAGAUUUUAAUGGAACGUUAAAAUGCACAAUGUAAUAUCACUUAUUACAGGCAAAGAACAUAGAAAACUCCUCAAUGACUUCUAUUUUAAUCUCUAUUCUAUUUCAUAGGUCUUGCAAAAAAUACAACCUUGGGCUAAAACUUUGUUGUUAUCACAAUUUCUAACAAUAUUAUUGUCAAUAUUAUGAAAAAGGGAAUUUCGGGAGUUCUGACAGUUUUUGGAAGGUUGGGCAAAUAUUGCUAAGAUGUUUCAAUGCCUGCAUUCUGUAGAGGCAAGAUCAUCGUGUUCAAUUUCCACAAAAACUUCUAAUAAAAGUUUUAAUAGAAUUUUUUUUCUUCAUACUAAGUAUAUAAUGUAUCAUGAAGUGACAGCAAUGGUAUUGGUUUGCAUAUUUGUAGAGUUUUGGGUGAGUGGCAUUUCCUGGAAAUGCUUAAAUAUGAAAACUUAACAGUCAUUAAAUAUACUUUCUUGCAUAUAUUUAUGUAAAAUAGCUCAUGGAGAAAAAAAAAAAAAGGAUGAAUGAUCUUGUAAUAUUUUUACUUCGUACAUAGUUUUUACAUUUCUAUGUGGGCUAUUAACUUUCUCCGGUAACUUAUGAUUUGGAUGUAUUGAAAUGCACUUUAUUUAUUCAUACUGCAUUCCAGCCAUCUUCACACCACUGUAAAUGAGGCAUUAAUAGAAUUUUGGGACCACCACUUCAGAUAGUGUGCUCCCAAGGAAAUGAGGCUUGAAGAAGUUAUCCAGAAAAACACCACAGAAAUGAUUAAAUGCCCUUUACUUGGUGUGGUUCCCAUAGGAAGACAGCAGAGUUGCUAAUGGCACCACCAUGGCACAGUUUCUCCUUAGGACAUAGGCAGAAACAGCCAUGGCGGGGCUUCAGCUGUGUGAUUCAGAUUAGUGUAGCUGUGCAGCCUUGUAAUAUAGUAUUAUGACUGCUAGUCAAAGGCAGUAAGCUUUCUACUGAGCUUGUGAGGCCUCAGAACUGAGACUUGUAAGGUUUUCUCUGUCUGAGCUUUCCUUGACCUGCUUGCUGCUCUGUCAGACUUGGUUCAGCUGUGCCAAGAAUUUCUCUAAUUGACCAGCUGCCCACAGCUAAUUUGUUUUACUUCUGUCUGUCUCUCUCUGUUAUAAAAUACUUCAUUUUAUACAGAUAGCAGUAAUAACAAGUUGUUGCAUGUUGCCUGAGGUAUUUACCACUCUAACAAAAUGUGGCAUUGAGAAAUGCAGGCCUGGCAUAACAGCAAAGGUCUUAGAGGUGGACAUAGGAUUUGGUGCGGAGAGUUUAGCCAUGGAUUCAUAAAAAGGGGGCACAGGCUUGGUGUAGGAAAUAUAAGUAUGAACAACUCACCAGUGACCAGUUAAAGAAAUGCAGACACAGAAGUGGACAAAACUGGGAUUAGAGUUACUAAAGAAGGCAAAAAAAAAAAAAAAAUCUAAUGAGUAUGAAAGGCAUCAUAUUAAGCAAGUGAGGAUGUACUUUGCAAAUGUAAGUUUUUAGACCAAUGAAGAAAAAAAAUGAAAUGUCUACAUUCUUGCUUUUCAUAUGUUUAUGAAAAAGGAAAGGCUGAGCACCAGCUCAUAUUUCAACAUAGCCACAUUUCAAACUAGCCACAAAUAUGAGAAAAAUAUUUUGGAAUGACAAUAAAAUUAACAUUUUCCUGUUUACUGUUUUUUAGUUAGAGUGAAAAUCAAAGUUCAAAUGACGUCCUCAAGUCAAUGAUCCUUCUCAAGGAUAAAAUUCAUUAUAGUUACUUAAUGACCAGGCAAUUAUGCUUGCAAAAUCAUAGAAUGAAUUUCAACCCCUAGUUCACUAGUAAGUCCUAAAGCAACACCACAGCCUCUGUGCUAUCACAAACGAAAUCUAUAACCCAAGGAGCUGUAGUAGUCUCUUCCAUGGAGCUUAAGGAGGUUUCCUUUUUCUUGCCCUUCCUGUGAAGCUACAAAAUUGGCAAUUCUUUCUCUUUCUCCUUGUAAGCCCAACACAAGCUUUGAAGUAGCAUGAUAAAAUGGGUACUAAAACUGGUGUUCAAAUGCAAAUUGUCUGAAUAAAUACAGCACAGUGGGGAUAAUGUUCCAAUAAAACAGAAUCUGAAAUGUUCUAGAUAGCAUUUGUUAAAUUAAACUGGAAAGAAAGAGAGUUGGUUUUUGAAGUAAAACUGUUCUUUAUCUAAUAAAGCUUUGCAAUAUUGGGUAGCAUUUUAGCCAUUUUAAGCUCUCUAACUUAUUUCCUGUGACCACUUCUCUUGAUUGUCAAUAAUAGAACCUGAAAUCCAUCAAAACUAGAUAGAGGGCAGUCUGAAACAAUCACCCUUCUGAACUUUUGUCAGUAGUGCAUUAGACAUAAACAACGGCUAAUCUGAAUAUAAACAAAAGCAACUACUUUCCUGAUUUUUGCAAAUAACAACAAAUGAAUAUCUGUAAGUUUAAAAACAUUAAAGGGUAUUUUGUGCUGGAAACUGUGCUAAAAUAUAUGCUUCUGUUGCAUUGUUGUGCCAAUAACUUUACAGAACACAGCUUUUUAAUCUGUCGUACAAGUCAUCUAGAAUAACUGCCCCUAACUAAGUUAUCAAAGAGUAAUAAUUAUUUUCUCACUGGUGCUAUAUGUUACACUUGUAUCCACAAUGCAGCAGGCUGAAAAUAGACAGUUAUAAAUAUCCUGCAGAGUAUCUCAUUCCAAUGUUGUCUCUCUAAAUGAAGGACAGAGCUCUUAUAAUUGGGAAAAGUAACCUUUAGAAAAAGAAGUAAAACACAUCUCCUCAGGUAACUCUGACCCCUUUAUUCAAUCACUGAAAUGAGGCAAUAUAACUUUCUAAGCACCUUUACAUCUGGCAACCACAGCAUAACUUCUAUCUGGAAAAAAGUAAGCUUUAAAAUGUGGUGCUGUGUAUGUGGACAAAUUAACAUGAAAUGAAGCCUAUUAAAGAAAUGAUACUAGCUUGAAAUGCAUGGUCAUUUUUAGUAUAAACUUAUCACACUAGCUCUGUAGCACCAGAUCAUUUGAAAUUAUGUCAUUUUUCCAUACAGAUCAUAAAAGAAAAAUGCAAACUAAUACCUUUUGCAGAGAAAAAAACUUCACCUCUGAACUGGAAAAGCAUCCAUAUUAUAUCACUGAAGUAAGGAGAAAUAAAGGACAGAAGUAUUUUAUUAUAAAUAAAACAAAAAAGAGAAUAUCUCAAACAAUGUAAUAGCUAUCUAUAUCUAUGCCUUGAUAUGGUCAGUGAAGGUCAGCUUUGUAUUUACUUCUUCAGGUUUAUCUCAGUGCUCUGAGGUUAAAACUAGCUCUACCUUGUGCCUGUUAGGAUUUUACAUGGAGAUAACAAUCACUGUGUAGUUUUCUUGCGGUAAAAAUGCCCUCAUGUUUUCAGUAAACACUCUGAAGUAGCAUUUUUCAUUUAUAAGGGAUGGCCUUAAAUUUGUAAUAUCCAUGCAGAAAAGUGGCACGUCUAAUUGUUAUUUUUGUCUAAUGGCUACAGAUUAGAUUGCAUUAGUUACAUUAAAUCACUCAGCAUUUCCUAUUUGAAUGUGAUAUGAAGACCAAAUCUCAAACUGAGUAUCAUGCUUAGUGUCAGAUGACUGAAGAAUGCAAACAUAUAGGGAACAAUGCGGACAUAUUAUUUCCCUUAUCAUAAACUCUUUUCGAGACAAGCAAUACUAGCCAUCAGUUGAGACUUAGGAUAUAAACUACUGUAGCCAUUCUUACAUUCUUCAUAGAAUAAGAAAAUACAGUUAUGCAUGGACUACAUCUAACCUAAAUUUAGUCAUUUGAAAGUUAGAAAUUUGGCUUAUAGCUGGUUAUCUCUGUUGGUAGUUCCAAAAGUAAUGCCUCCUAUUUAUUUCCAUGGAAACUAUAACAGACACAAAGAGUACAAUAACACUGACAGACAAAAUUCUCAGCUACAGGAUACUAUUUUUGUACAUAUUCAUCACUAGCAGUGAACAAAGGCCUGAAUGUUGUGCUCAUAAAAAUCUUCAUGGCCAUCUGGAAUAUGGCUUGUCUUUCACAUCACUGUUGCUACUACUGAAACACCACACAUCACUUCACUGUGUUCACAUCCACUGUUUGGUCUCCAUAUAUGUUCAGCAAGUGUCAAUGAAUAUCAGUGGGUGCAAUUUUUCCCACAUGGAGGAAUUCCACAUUUCAUGCAUGCUCCCAUGUCAAACAGCAUUCUGUCAGACCUUCCCUCUGCUGCCAUGUGUUGCAUGGCAAAAAAAAAACAUAAUGGAAUACUGGCAGGAAGGUUCAACCUCUACUGCUAUACUAUCAACAUCCACCUCAGAUAUUGUAGGCCAAUAUAAUAAAGUAGCAGACAUAACUUUUUAGAAGCCCUCGUAGAUUUCUUCUAUAGCCAGUGAGAAGAGAAUCAACUGCAGAAGUGCCUGAUUAUGGAUAUUUAGGAUACAUAGGCCCAGAUAUGUGAAUGAGCAGCCUUUUUUUCUCUUUCUCUCUUCCUGCUAACUACAAAAGAAUAGCUGUUAUCUGAAUUUUAAUAAUUGAUUUCAACUAGACAUAACCAUUGGUUCACUAGACCUAAUUCACCAAAAAGUUUAUGUGUGUAUAGCCAUCUACGAGUUUCAUCUCUAUUUCACUAAGUACUUUUUCAAUGCAAAUAUCACUACAUAAAUGUUUACAACCUGUGUGUCAGUUCUUCCACAUUAGUGGUGUUUUGGUGGAAGAUUUGUGCUGUUUUUGACAAAAUAGAGUAAAAGUAAUAGUUACCUGGAUACUGAGUACUUUACUUAUUGGAAAGGUGAUGUACAGUGCAGUGUAACAUUUUUUGGUUCAGAACUUCAGAUUCAGUAGGUUUGUUAACUCUGGUAUACUUACUAUUCCAAGGACAUCAUUGCUAUUUACUGUGAUCAACAAAUUAAAAUUAUUUAUUUGGAUAUCUAAAUUGAGAACAUAUAAUUAAUAACUUUAUUUUGUUACACCUUUCUCUAUUUGGGGGAUACUGUUGAGAAUCUGUCUCUGCAGUCCACACAGACAAACUUGUCAAAGAAAGCUCAUGAGUCAUCAAAAUUUUUGUAGAUCAAGUAAAACAAGUCAGUCUUCCACUGAAAUUCAAAAGAGCUCAUAAAACAUUUUAAAGGUAUUUCCUGAUUGCUGUGAAAUGAACAUUUCAGUAUGAGGUUUACCACAUAUAAAAAGAAUUUCUAAACAAUUGGCAUCUAAUAAACAGAUACCUGUGUGCUACUGAAGUGGUAAUAAGACAGAGCUGAAUUAAGAUGGUGAUGAGUCCAGGCCUACAAGAUUUACACUUAGAAUGAUCUUUCAAGACUUCUACGUUGGCAAGAAAAUAUUCUUUAUUUUGUAUUUUUCCAAUUUCCUUCAUUUUUUUUCUGUUUUUUUUUCCUCUCAUUAAGCCAUUUUCUAAAGUGCCCUCUCUUCUACAUUCUCUUCCCCUCAGCUUGUAACUGCACUUUUAAGUGAACUGAAUUAGCAAUUCAUUUACAUAAGUAGAGAAAACUUCAUUCUCUCAGAUUGAAUCUUUUUUUUUCUCUUAAAUAUACACAUACUAAAAACAAACAAGAGUGCUUCAGUCAAAUUAAUAUGAUUCUUCCAAUUUUAAAGAAAAACUUCAGAGUUUCAUCAUGUUAGAAUUUGAUUGAAAGAAUUUUGUGUUAGUUUACAUCAAUCUUUGACUUCCUUAAUAAAAUCACAAUAAAACCAUAUUUCUCAAGUAUUCACAUUUUAUGAUUCUGACACAUCAUUUUUUUCCUCAGGGAAAACAUAUAUGGCAAUCAUUUUUUCCUUUAGUUGCAUCCAAGCACCAGUCUUUGGAGAUGAGAGAGAGUUAAGAUUUAGGAUAGGAUAGGAUAGGAUAGGAUAGGAUAGGAUAGGAUAGGAUAGGAUAGGAUAGGAUAGGAUAGG